CGAGAGCCAUAUAUAUAUACCAGCCACCGUUUGGUAUUGCUUUCACCCCGCCGCUGCCUGAACUGUCUUAAAUUGUCGUUAAAAAAAUUUUUGUUUUUUUCUCCUUCAGGGCAACAACUGCACAACUUCCCAACCCGGGAUUCGAACUCGCGGCGAGAGCCAUAUAUAUAUAUAUAUAACCGGCCACCGUUUGGUAUUGCUUUCACCCCGCCGCUGCCUGAACUGUCUUAAAUUGUCGUUAAAAAAAUUUUUGUUUUUUUCUCCUUCAGGGCAACAACUGCACAACUUCCCAACCCGGGAUUCGAACUCGCGGCGAGAGCCAUAUAUAUAUAUAACCGGCCGCCAUUUGGUAUUGCUUUCACCCUACUACUGCCUCAAUUGUCUUAAAUUGUCAUUAAAAAAAAUUGUGUUUUUUCUCCUUCAGGGUAACGACUGCACAACUUCCGAAUCGGGGAUUCGAACUCGCGGUGAGCGCCAUACAUAUAUACCCGCCGCUGCCUGAAUUGUCUUAAAUUGUCGUUAAAAAAAUUUUUUUUCUCCUUCAGGGCAACAACUGCACAACUUCCCAACCCGGGAUUCGAACCCACGGCGAGAGCCAUAUAUAUAUACCAGCUACCGUUUGGUAUUGCUUUCACCCCGUCACCCCGCCGCUGCCUGAGCUGUCUUAAAUUGUCGUUAAAAAAUUUUGUUUUUUUCUCCUUCAGGGGAGCGACUGCACAACUUCCAAACCAGGGAUUCGAACUCACGGCGAGAGUGCCGCUAGGGUGCUCCCGCUGAGGUAUCUCUU
rnacentral:lncRNA from 1 species